CAAUAACAAUACCUACAGUCCGGGCGGCGGACGCUCCGGCGUCCAGCGUUUGCCUUUUAAAUUCUUGUGCUUCGCCGCCAUUGGCGACGUAGCAUUGUCGGCUUCGGGUAAUGUACGAGAUCUAUCUUCACAGAUUUGGUUGUUGACGGCUGUCCGCUAUUGCGGACUGCGAUACAGUCUUCAUUAUUGUUUAUUUUGCUACUCGCCGACCAACAAACUUGUUUUUAUUUUUCCAAGUCAUCUCUUAAUCCAUGCGUCCGAUCAGGCGACGACGACCGUUCGGAUUUGCCAUCGAUUCUAAUCACUUUAGCGAUCUAUAACAUUUUCGAAAUCAUUGCUUCCCGUAGACUGUUUCGGUUAUUCUAUCGAAUCGACGUCGCGACUCGAAGAAUAUUUUUUUACACAGUUGACGACAAGUUAUUGGUUUACUGACAUUUAAGAAAAUAUCUAUGGUGCUUCUAACAGCAUGAUAAGCUUCUCUGAACACCACUACCUUGCCAUUUCCAUAAAGACUUAGAAGUUCCACGGUGGAGCUGAAAAAAUCACUUCAAUGAUUCAAGGUAUUGUUGUUUGGCCAUGAAUUUAACAAAAGUAUUCAUAUUCCAUAAAAAUUCUGAAGAUUAUGAAAAUCAAUUAAGUGAAAGAAAUAUUAUUCAAAUUUAAAGUUCAAAAUAUGUCAAGAGUUUGAUAGAGAAAUGUGAUAGGCGUUUAGAUGUACGAUAAGUAGAAAACUUUGGCAGAGAAAAACGGUAAAGAGUUGAAAAAUACUUAUGUCUAGUUAUAAAGGUGAAAAAAAUUAUUAGAUAAAUGUAAACAAUAAAAGCACAAAAAUGAUUAAAACAAUAAAUGGAAAAUUCCAAGUAAUAAUUUAACAUUCACAGCACCUUAACCAUGUAAAAUCAUUUACAAAAAAGUACUUCUUUUUGUUAUAUAAAUAUUCUUCUAUAUUUCUUAAAAAAUAGGAGUCAUUGUGUAUUUAUAUAUUUAUAUCUAUUUAUGUUUGAGAAUUGUAACUAAAACAUUGAUAUACAUUCCAUUUUUAAUGAAGAAAGAUAAUAAAUUGUUAGAAAUUAAUUACAAGUUGUUCACUUUCAUAGGAUGAAUUAUAAAAAAAAAAUCAUAGCCUCAUUAUUCUUAAAUAUUAAUAGUCUAUCAUUAGUUGAUUUUCUUCAUUAAAUUUGGAAUGUGCGCUUUAGUUUUAUUUGUAUUUAUGAUUGCACCUUAAUUGGAAAAUAAAUAUAAUUUAUAUCAUUAUUCAAAUCUAUUGUGAAAUGUAAAACACUUGUAAAAAAAAGUAAUUAACUGCUUUAUAAAUAACUUUAUCGUGGUUUAAUU
rnacentral:lncRNA from 1 species